UAAGUCUUAGUGUAAUAAAACACUUAAAGUUUACACCUUUAUAAUGUCUACAGACAGAUUU
rnacentral:tRNA from 1 species